CAAGUCGAGGGGCAGCACAGGUAGUAAUACUGGGUGGCGACCGGCAAACGGGUGCGGAACACGUACACAACCUUCCUUUUGGUGGGGGAUAGCCUUUGGAAACGGAGAUUAAUACCCCAUAAUACAUUUGAACUGCAUAGUUUUUAUGUUAAAGAUUUAUCGCCGGAAGAUGGGUGUGCGUAUGAUUAGGUAGUUGGUAGGGUAACGGCCUACCAAGCCGACGAUCAUUAACUGGUGUGAGAGCACGACCAGUCACACGGGCACUGAGACACGGGCCCGACUCCUACGGGAGGCAGCAGUAAGGAAUAUUGGUCAAUGGACGGAAGUCUGAACCAGCCAUGCCGCGUGGAGGAUGAAGGUCCUCUGGAUUGUAAACUUCUUUUAUAGGGGGCGAAAAAAGGGAAUUCUUUCUCGUCUGACGGUACCCUAUGAAUAAGCACCGGCUAACUCCGUGCCAGCAGCCGCGGUAAUACGGAGGGUGCAAGCGUUAUCCGGAUUCACUGGGUUUAAAGGGAGCGUAGGCGGGCAUUUAAGUCCGUGGUGAAAGCCCUCAGCUCAACUGAGGAACUGCCAUGGAUACUAUUUGUCUUGAAUGUCGUUGAGGUUUGCGGAAUGGGUCAUGUAGCGGUGAAAUGCUUAGAUAUGACCCGGAACACCAAUUGCGAAGGCAGCAGGCUAAACGAAUAUUGACGCUGAGGCUCGAAAGCGUGGGGAUCAAACAGGAUUAGAUACCCUGGUAGUCCACGCCCUAAACGAUGAUUACUCGACAUACGUGAUAUGACAAUGUGUGUCUGAGCGAAAGCAUUAAGUAAUCCACCUGGGAAGUACGACCGCAAGGUUGAAACUCAAAGGAAUUGACGG
rnacentral:rRNA from 1 species